rfam:Salmo salar isolate Sally breed double haploid chromosome ssa26, whole genome shotgun sequence.
GACCGCGUGGCUCAACGGUAGCGCGUCUGACUCCAGAUCAGAAGGUUGCGUGUUCAAAUCACGUCGUGGUCA